AAGUCGUAACAAGGUUUCCGUAGGUGAACCUGCGGAAGGAUCAUUAACAAUUCGCGCCCCGGCGCGAUGCGUUCACCCUGACCUUUGAGUACCCUAUUUUCCUCCCCCCGGCCGGGGCAACCCGCCGGACGGGACAACAAAACAAACCUCUUGCAUUAGCAGUCACUGUCAGUACAAAACAAAAUUAUUAAAACUUUCAACAAUGGAUCUCUUGGCUCUGGCAUCGAUGAAGAACGCAGCGAAAUGCGAUAAGUAGUGUGAAUUGCAGAAUUCAGCGAAUCAUCGAAUCUUUGAACGCACAUUGCGCCCUUUGGUUAUUCCUUAGGGCAUGCCUGUUCGAGCGUCAUUUCAACCUUCAAGCUCAGCUUGGUGUUGGGUGUUUGUCCCGCCCCCCGCGCGUGGACUCGCCUCAAAUUGAUUGGCAGCCGCAUCCCCCCGCCGCGAGCGCAGCACAGUCGCGCUUACGACGAGGGCGGGUCGGCGCUCCAGAAGCCUAUUUCAACGUCUUGACCUCGGAUCAGGUAGGGAUACCCGCUGAACUUAA
rnacentral:misc_RNA from 1 species